CACGUAGGCACCAAGCGUUGUCCGGAAUUAUUGGGCGUAAAGAGCUCGGUAGGCGGUCUGUCGCGUCGGCUGUGAAAACCCGGGGCUCAACCCCGGGCCUGCAGUCGAUACGGGCAGACUAGAGUUCGGCAGGGGAGACUGGAAUCCUGGUGUAGCGGUGAAAUGCGCAGAUAUCAGGAGGAACACCGGUGGCGAAGGCGGGUCUCUGGGCCGAUACUGACGCUGAGGAGCGAAAGCGUGGGGAGCGAACAGG
rnacentral:rRNA from 1 species